AUUGAACGCUGGCGGCAGGCUUAACACAUGCAAGUCGAGCGGAGAUGAGGUGCUUGCACCUUAUCUUAGCGGCGGACGGGUGAGUAAUGCUUAGGAAUCUGCCUAUUAGUGGGGGACAACAUUCCGAAAGGAAUGCUAAUACCGCAUACGUCCUACGGGAGAAAGCAGGGGACCUUCGGACCGUGCGCUAAUAGAUGAGCCUAAGGCGGAGUAGCUAGUUGGGGGGGUAAAGGCCUACCAAGGCGACGAUCUGUAGCGGGUCUGAGAGGAUGAUCCGCCACACUGGGACUGAGACACGGCCCAGACUCCUACGGGAGGCAGCAGUGGGGAAUAUUGGACAAUGGGGGGAACCCUGAUCCAGCCAUGCCGCGUGUGUGAAGAAGGCCUUAUGGUUGUAAAGCACUUUAAGCGAGGAGGAGGCUACUGAGACUAAUACUCUUGGAUAGUGGACGUUACUCGCAGAAUAAGCACCGGCUAACUCUGUGCCAGCCGCCGCAGUAACAC
rnacentral:rRNA from 1 species